UCCAGACUCCUACGGGAGGCAGCAGUGGGGGAUAUUGGACAAUGGGGGAAACCCUGAUCCAGCGAUGCCGCGUGAGGGAAGAAGGUCUUCGGAUUGUAAACCCCUGUCAUGUGGGAGCAAAUUAAAAAGAUAGUACCACAAGAGGAAGAGACGGCUAACUCUGUGCCAGCAGCCGCGGUAAUACAGAGGUCUCAAGCGUUGUUCGGAAUCACUGGGCGUAAAGCGUGCGUAGGCUGUUUCGUAAGUCGUGUGUGAAAGGCGCGGGCUCAACCCGCGGACGGCACAUGAUACUGCGAGACUAGAGUAAUGGAGGGGGAACCGGAAUUCUCGGUGUAGCAGUGAAAUGCGUAGAUAUCGGGAGGAACACUCGUGGCGAAGGCGGGUUCCUGGACAUUAACUGACGCUGAGGCACGAAGGCCAGGGGAGCGAAAGGGAUUAGAUACCCCUGUAAU
rnacentral:rRNA from 1 species